rnacentral:rRNA from 1 species
AAUGAACGCUGGCGGUAGGCCUAACACAUGCAAGUCGAACGAGUGGCGGACGGGUGAGGAAUACAUCGGAAUCUACGCUGUCGUGGGGGCUAACGUAGGGAAACUUACGCUAAUACCGCAUACGAUUGAAUGAGCCGCUGUCGGAUUAGCUAGUUGGCGGGGUAAAGGCCCACCAAGGCGACGAUCCUUAGCUGGUCUGAGAGGAUGAUCAGCCACACUGGAACUGAGACACGGUCCAGACUCCUACGGGAGGCAGCAGUGGGGAAUAUUGGACAAUGGGCGCAAGCCUGAUCCAGCCAUGCCGCGUGGGUGAAGAAGGCCUUCGGGUUGUAAAGCCCUUUUGUUGGGAAAGCGGUACCCAAAGAAGAAGCACCGGCUAACUCCGUGCCAGCCGCCGCGGUAAUAC